AUCUGCAUUUUAUAGCUAUCGUGGGCGAUAUAACACCAUCGGAUGGUGUACCUAAAGUAGAAAAGAGCAGACUUGAGCAAGCGGCUUUAAACGAGAUGUGCGAGGUUCUUGGUGGUGGAAAGAGGGCCGAAGAAAUAAAGGAACUUUGGAGGGAAUACGAGGAUAACGCCUCCCUUGAGGCUAAUCUUGUUAAAGAUUUUGAUAAAAUUGAGAUGAUUCUGCAAGCACUUGAAUAUGAAACUGGGAAGUUUCAGACCGAAAUCGGCAAGAGUUAGGCCGCUGAGAUCAUUGCCAGGAGAAAUUCAAGACUGGCAAAGAUGGGGUUGAUGUACAAGAUCCUGAUCAAGAAGUUCAAGAAUCCGACUCUUUAAGAAAGAAGAGUAAGAUACGUUAUGAAUAAUCAAGCUUUAUCUUGUGAUGAAGAGGAUAAUGAUCUGACCAAAAAUGAUGUAUUAAUCAUUGCAAAAGAGGUAUUUUUUUUUCAAUAUACACGUCUACUGUGAGACUUAGCUAUU